rnacentral:misc_RNA from 1 species
UCUCCGUAGGUGAACCUGCGGAGGGAUCACUACAGGCUUGCAAAAGCUCUGAAACCACUGUUUAUCUACCUGAAUCUGCUUCGGCGGGCGGCCUCAGGGCGGGGCCGUAGCCGCAAGGCGCCCGCCGAAGACCCCUAAACUCUGUCGUCUUGAGAAUCUCUGAGUAUCAUAUUAAACAGAAAACAACUUUCAACAACGGAUCUCUUGGCUCUCGCAUCGAUGCAGAACGCAGC